GGGCAGGGGGCACGGGCUGAAGGGAGGCGGUCCCGGGGGCGUAGACGUGGCGAGAGGGGUCCCCGCGGGGGCUGAGCCCUUGAGGCCGGGGCCGUUCCUGAGGACAUCGCGGCGCUGCAGCCCCGGCUCCUUGUCCUGCCGCGGGGUCCCGCAGAAGGUUCUUGGGGACGCGGGGCCUGGCGGCGAGGGUGCUCCGAGGAGCCCUGAGGGACCUGCUCGGGAUCGGAAGGGAGCGGGUCUGGCUCGGGGGGCGAUGCGGAACCUCCCGGGCUCCGGGGCUGUGCCGGCCCCGGCGCUUGCGGCGAAACCGGCGCUGAUAUUUCAGAGUUAAAACACCUCACGGGUUGUUUUUUUUCCGAGCCUGCCCCUUUAUGCAGCGACGUGGCCGUAUAAGGACCGUGCUCUGCUGCGAAGUCGAGGGAUGGCGGCUCAGCGCUCCCGCAGCCCCGUUAUAGCUCACUAAAUAUUGUUUUUAUUGCGAACAGACUUGUAAUGAGGUUAUGAAACGAGCCUGUGUCACAGCUAAGUCCCACCCAUUGCUGUGCUGCUGAGAUAGGCCGCCCAUGGUUCCAUCCUGGGGGGGAACUGAUCCCACAUCCAGCUGCUCCAGAGGCACUCCCAGCAUCAGCUUUAGCUGCCAAGUCUGAUAACCUCCAAGUUUUCCAGACUUCUGACCGCUAGAAAAAGAAGAAAGGCGCUUUUCUUGUUGUUUUUUUUUUCUCCUUCUUUAUCCCAAGAAGCUCUGCCAAAGGGAUAUGUGUGUCUCUGGUAACUCCCUUUGAAUUCUGGCGUUUUCAGCCCUACCCAGAGGAGAUGGUGUGAGGUAACGUACUUGGGACCAAGAUAUGGAAAACUGGGAUGUGGUGAAUUCUGUACAGGAAAUCCCUUCGUCUUCUGCAGACUCUGAUGUCAGAGACACCCACAGCUCUGUCUGUAACUUGAACUGUAACAGAAGUCCUUCAUCCAAUCCCAAUGGAGUUUCUGGUUACUCAGGGAAUACCAGGUCCUCAUUAAAGCCUGGUUCUGUUGAACUGUUUGCCUCCUUUAUGCAAGACAUCCAGGCCAUUGGAAAUGCUGACACGGAAAUUGUGAAGAACUGUGAGACAAGGUGGCUACAGCUGCUGAGACUGGUAGAAAAGCAAUGUCAGCAACAAAUAGUUGCCCAGCAAGAGCAGUUCCACCAUCAAAUCCAACUGAUUCAGGCUGAGAUCAGGCAGCUGGUGAAGUUUGGGAGCAGCAGUUGGGGAGCCGGCAGGAGCCGGGGUUUGCCUGCCACGCUUCCAGACACUUUUCCACCACUAACAAUUCCAAUGGGGAUGCGAUCUGAGCUCUUGGAGGAACACGAGAGCAUUGUCCAUCAGCUCAGAUCCAAUGAAGCAGAAAGCCAGCCCAGAGCAUCCGACCUGCAGCAGGAAUGUUGCGGCAGCGACGCGUCCAUGAACAGCGGGUAUGGAACGCUCUCCACCUCCGAGCUGAACCCUGACACGGCCAACAGCACCAGCAGGGCCACAGAUUCCAUGGAGAAAACUUCCCAGGGACACGGGGAUGGAGCAGGGUUGCAGAGUGAUGCAAUUGUAGCCAGUGUUCAAAAUAAAACAGAACUUUUACCGAGAAGAAUAGAGGAAAAUCGUUCACCGGGAAGGAACAACAUUUUAGUUUUUCCUGCCGAAUUUGAGCAUAAAGUUGAUGAAGCUCCAUGUGGGAAGAAACCCAGUAAAUCUUUAACGUCGUGGGCACAAAAGUUGAAACAAAACCAACCAAAAAGGAUAACUGCAGAUGAAGUGUGUGUGAACUCUAUGCAAGAAAAUGAGAAAGUGAAGAAAUCACCACUUGAGAAUACAAACCUUACUGAUGCUGCUUUGCCACCUUACACUUUUUACCUCAACCAACCGAAGGAAAGUCCCAAUUCCUUGGUGUCUGAAGCUUCAGGACUUUCAUACUGGAAGUUAGAUGAAAAGGAGAUGUAUCACACUCUACCAGAGAAUUUCAGAAGUGAGUUUGCUGAUGUUUUCUCCACAAAAGUAUCACCAGAUCAGUUGUCUUCUGCUGAGGAAAUGAAGUUGUCAUCCCUGAAGGAUAUUUAUCAUAAAAGACAAAGGGAAAACAAGCAGAUGCCAGACCAGAAUGUUUUGCCUUCUUCCCAGUCAAGUCACCCACCAGAGAUCUUGACGUUGGACCCAACCCUGCACAUGAAACCAGGUCAGCAGAACCAGGGACGCUGUUUUUUCAAUAUUCCUGAAGAGAUUACUCCCUUUUCUCCAGACUCCAUGGCAGAGCCAGGAUUUUCAAGUCAUUGUGACACAGACUCUUUUUCACAGACAAGUCGUUCUUCUCAGUUAGAUGAUUCUCCCAGACACCCUGCCAGCAGCAGAGCUGUGCACUUGGACUUCUGGAGAAAUCACCUGUUCCAAAGUGAAAACAGGAGCAGCUCCCCUUUUCCAAAGGCAUACAGGGAUGCUGACCAUGAUAGUUCAGUCAGUGCUGAGGAGGAAGAAACACUGACUUUAACUCCAUCCUCUGUUACUCAGUGUGCUGACAACACUUUGCCAGAUUACAGCCUUUCAGUAGCACCUGUUGAAGACCCUGUGCUAAUGUCACAGAUUAGGCAGAACCUGAGGGAGAAACACGCUCGACACAUCGCUGAUCUCCGAGCUUACUAUGACUCGGAGAUCCAGAGCUUAAAGCAGCAGCUGGAGGCAAGUCAGAGAACUGCUUCUGCUGAGGACCUGAAGAAAAUCAAUCAAAGUCUUGCUGACAGGUGUGAGCAGUUGGAUGCAGCUCUGAACGAAGCCAGUGCUCGCAUAAAAGCCCUGGAAAAUAAGAAUAAUCUGCUGGAAAAGCAAGUGGCAGAGUGGAGGGAGCGUUUCCAGGCCCUCAGCAGCACUUCCAAGGUUCUGCAGGAGCGGAUCGAGGAGAUGCGGACGACCCACAAGGAGAAGGACAACACCAUCAGCCGCCUGCAGUCCAGGCUCAAGGAGCUGGAGGAAGCUUUUGAGAAGGCCUACAAGUUAUCUGAUAAUAAAAACACGAGGCUAAAGGAAGAAAACAAAAUGUUUCAGAAUCUUUUAGGAGAGUACGAGUCCCUUGGAAAAGAACAUGAAAGAGUAAAGGAUACAUUAAAUACAACUGAGAACAAAUUGCUUGAUGCAAACACACAGAUUUCUGAUUUAAAAAGGACAAUUUUAAAACUUGAAGCUCAGCUCAAGCAGGUGGAACAUGAAAAUAUGUUGAAACUUCGCCACAUCACCGAGAACCGUUUGAGAACCUCUUGUGCCAACAAGUUGGGAACUCCUGAUGUCAGCAGGAGAAAGUGGCUGAUACCAGGAGCUGAAUAUUCCAUCUUCACUGGCCAGCCUUUGGAAGGCCAGGAAAGCCCCAAAGAUAACAGAUUAGAAGAAAACUAUAUUCCUCCCAGGUAUCACUCUCCUCCUGAAAAAGAUUCUUCACAGGAAGACUCUUCAACAAACACAAUAGAAAAGAAAGAAAAUGAGAUGUCAGAAGCACCAAUUAUAAAAGCCUUUAAAGAACUUGAAGAAGGGAAAGUAUUUAAAGACUGGGGGACACAGACAGACAAAGAAGACGCACCAGCCAAAACAUCAAAUCGACGUCAGACUGUUGGGUUUGUUGAAGCUUCUUUAGUUGCCACCCCGGAGAAAGGGAAGGACCAACACAGACCCAAAAGGUUCAGCUCCCCUUCGGGCCAGAGGUCAUCAUCCCUUCCUCCUUCCAACAGGAAACCCAACACUCCAAAAGAGAGAUAAUGUUGGCACCAGUGUCUGUGACAUACAGCCCAAAACGAUCUCCAAAAGAAAACCUCUCCCCUGGAUUCAGCCAUUUGCUUGGCAGAAAUGAAAACACAGUGACAAGGUUUGAUAUACUUCUAGAUGACCUGGAAGCUGGUGCUACAUCUACUUUACAGCACAAUAACCCAAGGAAAAGGCUCCAGUUUCUCUCACUAGAUGAUGCAGAAGGAAGGCAGCAUUCAGGUGUCAGGCACAGCUCUUGUGCUGAAUCCAUCAACAGCGGGCUGAAGAAGGCGGCAGCUUGGGACGAGAGGAGCACAGCUCAAAAAUAUGAGCCAGUGGCAUCACCUGGGGAGGAGGACUUCAAAUACACAGCAAGGAUCACGACUCUGGCUGAAACAGAGAGGCUUUUUGAUGAGCUGACUCAAGAAAAGCAACAGAUUGAGGCUGCACUGAGUCGAAUACCUUGUUCUGGUGGAAGAAUGACCUUGCAAGCAAGACUGAAUCAGGAAGCCCUGGAAGAUCGUUUGGAAAGAAUUAAUAGGGAUUUGGGGUUGAUAAGAAUGACUCUGAAAAGAUUCCAUGUUUUACGGACCUCUGCCAAUCUCUGACAGUUCUCUCCUGACUGCAAAUAUACUCUUUUCCCUUUGGUUUUUUUUUUUUUGCACUAAUAUAUAAUUAUGCACUCAGUAAAUGCAAAUUGUUUUGUAUUUUUAUAAGCCCUCAAAAGUAGUUUUACAACCAUGUUACCCUUUACAAACAGCAAUAUUUUGUACUUGGAACAGCAACCUCUAUUUUAAACAUAUUUUUAUUACACCUGAGAAAUCAAUGUUUAUCCUGUAUUGUAAUAUUUUUAGAAAUAUUAAUUAUUUUUAAAUAGUGAUAUUGAAUUUAUAAUAAGAAUAAGAAACUAAAAGGCAGCUUGUUUUCAGGAAAUGAUAGUGUUACCCUUUUGCACUUGGUUUUCCUCCACUGUUUUAUAAAUAUUUAGGGUGUGAUGUAAAUAUUAGCCAAGAGGAGAUUUUGAACUUUAAUACAAAAAGCAACAUGAGUUACCUGUGUUAAAGAGAACUGCUGUUCUGUGGUAAAUCCUUUCAGCUGAACCCUUUAACAUGGAUAUUUUUCAUUGUGACAGAACUGUGAGCAAUACUUUCACUAUGGCUGUGGUAGGAAAAUACUGCUCUGAAUUCCCUGAUGUCUCCAGCAGUCACAGUGAGUAGUGUUUGAUACUGUGAGUACCAGGAUUCACCUGACAGCAGCCUCCCUGUCUCCCAGUGAACAGCUCAGCUCCAGCUGACUCUCCAGGACUGGAACUCCUUCCCUGAAGUUACUGGUUUCCUGUGCCAGGCUGGGUUUCGUACCAGUGUUCCCAUUGUGAACAUUUCAUGUAUUUGUGGACAGAAAUGCAUUUUUCUUGGUGAAAAAUCCAGAUUUGCCAGUUGACAUGUUGCUGCAUUACCGUCCAACAUUGAUACUUUGGUUUGUAUUUUAAUAUUAAAUAAAUGUUUAAUUAGA